GACGAACGCUGGCGGCGUGCUUAACACAUGCAAGUCGAACGAAGUGGCGAACGGGUGAGUAACGCGUAAUCAACCUGCCCUUCAGAGGGGGACAACAGUUGGAAACGACUGCUAAUACCGCAUACGGAAGGAGGGGAGUGCGUCUGAUUAGCUAGUUGGGUGGGGAACGGCCCACCAAGGCGAUGAUCAGUAGCCUGUCUGGGGGGGUGGACCGCCCCCAUGGGACUGGGGCACGGCCCAGACUCCCUCUGGGGGGAGCAAUUGGGAAUCUUCCGCCAUGGGGGGAAAUCUGACUGAACAACGCCGCGUUGGUGAUAACGGCCUUCGGGUUGUAAAACUCUGUUAAUCGGGACGCGGUACCGGAAGAGAAAGCCACGGCUAACUACGUGCCAGCAGCCGCGGUAAUUC
rnacentral:rRNA from 1 species